rnacentral:rRNA from 1 species
CGCUGGCGGCGUGCCUAAUACAUGCAAGUCGAACGCUUCUUUUUCCACCGGAGCUUGCUCCACCGGAAAAAGAGGAGUGGCGAACGGGUGAGUAACACGUGGGUAACCUGCCCAUCAGAAGGGGAUAACACUUGGAAACAGGUGCUAAUACCGUAUAACAAUCAAAACCGCAUGGUUUUGAUUUGAAAGGCGCUUUCGGGUGUCGCUGAUGGAUGGACCCGCGGUGCAUUAGCUAGUUGGUGAGGUAACGGCUCACCAAGGCCACGAUGCAUAGCCGACCUGAGAGGGUGAUCGGCCACAUUGGGACUGAGACACGGCCCAAACUCCUACGGGAGGCAGCAGUAGGGAAUCUUCGGCAAUGGACGAAAGUCUGACCGAGCAACGCCGCGUGAGUGAAGAAGGUUUUCGGAUCGUAAAACUCUGUUGUUAGAGAAGAACAAGGAUGAGAGUAACUGUUCAUCCCUUGACGGUAUCUAACCAGAAAGCCACGGCUAACUACGUGCCAGCAGCCGCGGUAAUACGUAGGUGGCAAGCGUUGUCCGGAUUUAUUGGGCGUAAAGCGAGCGCAGGCGGUUUCUUAAGUCUGAUGUGAAAGCCCCCGGCUCAACCGGGGAGGGUCAUUGGAAACUGGGAGACUUGAGUGCAGAAGAGGAGAGUGGAAUUCCAUGUGUAGCGGUGAAAUGCGUAGAUAUAUGGAGGAACACCAGUGGCGAAGGCGGCUCUCUGGUCUGUAACUGACGCUGAAGCUCGAAAGCGUGGGGAGCAA